rnacentral:rRNA from 1 species
GACGAACGCUGGCGGCGUGCUUAACACAUGCAAGUCGAACGGAAAGGCCCUGCUUUUGUGGGGUGCUCGAGUGGCGAACGGGUGAGUAACACGUGAGUAACCUGCCCUUGACUUUGGGAUAACUUCAGGAAACUGGGGCUAAUACCGGAUAGGAGCUCCUGCUGCAUGGUGGGGGUUGGAAAGUUUCGGCGGUUGGGGAUGGACUCGCGGCUUAUCAGCUUGUUGGGGGGGUAGUGGCUUACCAAGGCUUUGACGGGUAGCCGGCCUGAGAGGGUGACCGGCCACAUUGGGACUGAGAUACGGCCCAGACGCCUACGGGAGGCAGCAGUGGGGAAUAUUGCACAAUGGGCGGAAGCCUGAUGCAGCAACGCCGCGUGCGGGAUGACGGCCUUCGGGUUGUAAACCGCUUUCGCCUGUGACGAAGCGUGAGUGACGGUAAUGGGUAAAGAAGCACCGGCUAACUACGUGC